CGAUAGCGUAUAUUAAAGUUGUUGCGGUUAAAAAGCUCGUAGUUGGAUUUCUGCUGAGGACGAUCGGUCCGCCCUCUGGGUGAGUAUCUGGCUCGGCCUUGGCAUCUUCUUGGAGAACGUUACUGCACUUGACUGUGUGGUGCGGUAUCCAGGACUUUUACUUUGAGGAAAUUAGAGUGUUUCAAGCAGGCGCACGCCUUGAAUACAUUAGCAUGGAAUAAUAAGAUAGGACCUUGGUUCUAUUUUGUUGGUUUCUAGAGCUGAGGUAAUGAUUAAUAGGGAUAGUUGGGGGCAUUCGUAUUUAACUGUCAGAGGUGAAAUUCUCGGAUUUGUUAAAGACGGACUACUGCGAAAGCAUUUGCCAAGGAUGUUUUCAUUGA
rnacentral:rRNA from 1 species